UGUGUUUGCCCAGCCACUGGGGGCGCGGCUGGGGGCGGGCUGGGUCUCCCUCCUGGAGGAACCGGGAGACAGGGGCCUCUGCGGGAGGAGGGGCCUUCAGGUGGGCGGGACAGCGGAGCUGCAAGCGGAUGUGGUUACCUGCAUUUUGCAGGUGGUGAGGGUCCAGCCCGGGGUGGAUGUCUGUGUCCCCCCUCAGGUGGCCCAGUGGGCAGCUGUGUCCCCCUAAGCAGGGGCAGUUAGGUCAUUCUGCUGCGGCUUCUUGCUCCUCUGCUGUGUCAAAGCCCCCUCUCCGCCCACCCGGCCCCCUUGGGUGUCAUGGACAUGGGCAAAGUGAGCGUGGGCUCAGGCAUGGGAGAAAUCGUGGGGCCAGGUUUGGAGUCUAGGCCUUCAUGAGCAGAACUGACUGGGGUCAGGAUGCCCGGAGGCCCUGAGAGUCCCAAGGCCUCAGGAACCAGGGACAAGUCAGGGGCCCAGCAAGCCUGAGAACCUGGGGGAAGCCCGCAGCCACCCCGAUGGGUGGGUGCCAUCGUCCCAGCUUCACAGUGACACAGGCAGACAGAGACUGAGAGGGAGCGAAGGCAGGUGGGCAGGGGCAGCCGACCCGGGUGGGACAGCCCCUGCGUGUGUCCAGGGCCCCGGGCCCACGGCGGCCUUCCUUCACCCGCCUUCCUCUUCUAGCCCUGCGGGGAUGGGCUGAGGAGUGUCCAGCAGGACCUCACGCUCCCCGACGCUCUGCCCAGUGGGCGUGGCCUCCCAUCCUCGCUGGAGUCAACCCUCACGGUGAGAGAAGGGUGACCGGCCCCAACAAGGACGGCAACUUCCAAAAUCGUCAAGCUGGGAAUGGGGGCCGCUGGCGUGCAGCAGGUGGAACCAGAGUCUGCCUGCCGUCACCCCGAAGGCCAGCACAGUCCCUCGAGGAUGGCAAUGAGCUGGUCACAUUCAGGGACCCCUCUGAGCAGCCAGCGAACCUCCUGAAACCCAGAGCCUUUCCCCAUGACCCAAGCACCUCGUGCUCCUUGGAUUGUGUCCUCAGGACACAUGAGAGUCAGACCCAAGCCGAAAGGUCAGUGGUGGAAUUCACUCGGAUUUGGUUUCAGAUGUCCCGGGGGAGACCCUUGGCCACUGCGGGAGCAUGGAGCCGGCUUCCCCCCGAGAAGGAGACGUGAGGGUGCAGGGGGAGGAUCCACCGCACGGGAUGCCCAUGUGCAUCGCACACCGUGGAUUCCAGGCAAACGCUACCGCGAACUUCCUUCUAGCAAUUAAAGCACAAACCCAUGUCGUGGCAGCUGGGCGGAGCUCCUCAGAGUCCCUGUGUCGAGUGUGCCUUGAAUCUCAACGCCCUGUGUCCUGAGGGAAGUUACCUCUCUGGGUCGCCAUGGGCUCCUUGAAUGCCCCCCAGACAGAGGAGGGUCCCCGUUCCAUGUGCACUGGGCCACCUCACAUCUACCUAGCAG
rnacentral:lncRNA from 12 species